GAUGAACGCUGGCGGCGUGCCUAACACAUGCAAGUCGAGCGUGAACCCUGCGAAUGAAACUUCGGUCGAUUUUGCAGGAGGAAAGCGGCGGACGGGUGAGUAACGCGUAGGUAACCUGCCCCAUACUGAGGGAUAGCCUCGGGAAACCGGGAUUAAUACCUCAUAACACCGUUUGUUCGCAUGGACGAACGGUCAAAGAUUUACCGGUAUGGGAUGGGCCUGCGUCUGAUUAGCUGGUUGGUGGGGUAACGGCCUACCAAGGCGACGAUCAGUAGCCGACCUGAGAGGGUGAUCGGCCACAUUGGAACUGAGACACGGUCCAAACUCCUACGGGAGGCAGCAGUGGGGAAUAUUGCACAAUGGGCGAAAGCCUGAUGCAGCAACGCCGCGUGAGCGAAGAAGGCCUUUGGGUUGUAAAGCUCUGUCGGGUAGGAAGAUAAUGACGGUACUACCCGAGGAAGCCCCGGCUAACUACGUG
rnacentral:rRNA from 1 species